AGCGAACGCUGGCGGCAGGCUUAACACAUGCAAGUCGAGCGGGCACUACGGUGUCAGCGGCAGACGGGAGAGUAACACGUGGGAACGUACCCUGUGGUUCGGAAUAACGCUAGGAAACUAGCGCUAAUAGCGGAUACGCCCUGUUGGGGAAAGGCGUGCUGCCGAAGGAUCGGCCCGCGUCUGAUUAGCUAGUGGGUGGGGUAAUGGCCUACCAAGGCGACGAUCAGUAGCUGGUCUGAGAGGAUGAUCAGUCACACUGGGACUGAGACACGGCCCAGACUCAUACGGGAGGCAGCAGUGGGGAAGACUGGAGAAGGGGCGCAAGCCUGAUCCAGCCAUGCCGCGAGAGUGAUGAAGGCCUUAGGGUUGUAAAGCUCUUUUGUCCGGGACGAUCAUGACGGUACCGGAAGAAUAAGCCCCGGCUAACUUCGUG
rnacentral:rRNA from 1 species